rnacentral:rRNA from 1 species
GACGAACGCUGGCGGCGUGCCUAAUACAUGCAAGUCGAGCGAGCGGAACCAACAGAUUUACUUCGGUAAUGACGUUGGGAAAGCGAGCGGCGGAUGGGUGAGUAACACGUGGGGAACCUGCCCCUAAGUCUGGGAUACCAUUUGGAAACUGGUGCUAAUACCGGAUAAUAAAGCAGAUCGCAUGAUCAGCUUUUGAAAGGCGGCGUAAGCUGUCGCUAAGGGAUGGCCCCGCGGUGCAUUAGCUAGUUGGUAAGGUAACGGCUUACCAAGGCGACGAUGCAUAGCCGAGUUGAGAGACUGAUCGGCCACAUUGGGACUGAGACACGGCCCAAACUCCUACGGAGGCGAGCAUGUACGCUAUAGCUGAGCGGGCGUGGCAAGGCGCGAUAG